GACGAACGCUGGCGGCGUGCCUAAUACAUGCAAGUAGAACGCACAGUUUAUACCGUAGCUUGCUACACCAUAGACUGUGAGUUGCGAACGGGUGAGUAACGCGUAGGUAACCUGCCUGGUAGCGGGGGAUAACUAUUGGAAACGAUAGCUAAUACCGCAUAAUAUUAAUUAUUGCAUGAUAAUUAAUUGAAAGGUGCAAUUGCACCACUACCAGAUGGACCUGCGUUGUAUUAGCUAGUAGGUGAGGUAACGGCUCACCUAGGCGACGAUACAUAGCCGACCUGAGAGGGUGAUCGGCAACACUGGGACUGAGACACGGCCCAGACUCCUACGGGAGGCAGCAGUAGGGAAUCUACGGAAAUGGACGAAGGUCUGACCGAGCAACGCGGCGUGAGUGAAGAAGGUUUUCGGAUCGUAAAGCUCUGUUGUAAGAGAAGAACGGGUGUGAGAGUGAAAAGUUCACACUGUGACGGUAUUUUACCAGAAAGGGACGGCUAACUACG
rnacentral:rRNA from 1 species